rnacentral:rRNA from 1 species
GAUGAACGCUAGCGGGAGGCCUAACACAUGCAAGCCGAGCGGUAGAGAUUCUUCGGAAUCUUGAGAGCGGCGCACGGGUGCGGAACACGUGUGCAACCUGCCUUUAUCUGGGGGAUAGCCUUUCGAAAGGAAGAUUAAUACCCCAUAAUAUAUUGAAUGGCAUCAUUUGAUAUUGAAAACUCCGGAGGAUAAAGAUGGGCACGCGCAGGAUUAGAUAGUUGGUGAGGUAACGGCUCACCAAGUCAACGAUCCUUAGGGGGCCUGAGAGGGUGAUCCCCCACACUGGUACUGAGACACGGACCAGACUCCUACGGGAGGCAGCAGUGAGGAAUAUUGGACAAUGGGUGAGAGCCUGAUCCAGCCAUCCCGCGUGAAGGAUGACGGCCCUAUGGGUUGUAAACUUCUUUUGUAUAGGGAUAAACCUACUCUCGUGAGAGUAGCUGAAGGUACUAUACGAAUAAGCACCGGCUAACUCCGUGCCAGCCGCCGCCGUAAAAC